UACGUAGGUGGCGAGCGUUGUCCGGAUUUAUUGGGUUUAAAGGGUGCGUAGGCGGUCCUAUAAGUCAGUGGUGAAAUAUCGCAGCUCAACUGUGAGGGUGCCAUUGAUACUGUAGGACUUGAGUGAAUUUGAGGUAGGCGGAAUUGACGGUGUAGCGGUGAAAUGCUUAGAUAUCGUCAAGGACACCGAUAGUGAAGACAGCUUACCAAGCUUCAACUGACGCUGAGGCACGAAAGUGUGGGGAUCAAACAGG
rnacentral:rRNA from 1 species